UGUUACUCAUUAGUUUCUUCUUAUUAGUCUUGAUUGCCAGGCCAUCAGACUCUUCUGCAAGCAGAUUGAUGCUGGAAAAGGAUCAGGAGGUAGUAGAUACCUGCCCAAAAAUUAGGUGCCUACAAAUUGUGUGCCCAAAACCAACAAAACCAUGCCCACAAAUUAGAUGCAGUAAUGGUUCUUACACUCCGUGCUGUGACUGCCCAAGAUGUUGUGCUCCUCCUAAUUAAAUUGUGUAUUUGAUCUUGGUCGUACCAUAAACUUGUAUGUUUGGUUGGUAUAGUGUAUGAUUCUCCUUUUAAUUUGAUGAUGGUGUUAUCUAGCUAGCGUUUUGUAUUAGUGUAUUGGUGUAUUGAUCCAAUGUUGAAUGUAAUAAAAGGUAUGCUAUACUAUGAUAAGGAUUUAAGAA